CUUACAAUCAUUCAGAGCCCUAUGAUUUAUCAGGGUGAUGGACUGCCUUUUGCAUAAUGAGCCUGCGAGUUGUGAUGUCUGGCGAGGUUAAGGAAACCCGGAGCCGUAGCGAAAGCGAGUCUUAAUAGGGCGUUUAGUCAGACGUUGCAGACCCGAAACGAUGUGAUCUAUCCAUGAGCAGGUUGAAACCGGUGUAAGAGCCGGUGGAGGACCGAACCCGCUAGCGUUGAAAAGCUAUGGGAUGACUUGUGGAUAGGGGUGAAAGGCCAAUCAAACAUCGUGAUAGCUGGUUCUCUCCGAAAUAUAUUUAGGUAUAGCGUCAUGUAGUAACACUAGGGGGUAGAGCACUGAAUGGGCUAGGGCAUACACCAAUGUACCAAACCCUAUCAAACUCCGAAUACCUAGUGUGUAAUCAUGGCAGUCAGGCGGCGAGUGAUAAAAUCCGUCGUCGAGAGGGGAACAACCCAGACUAACAGCUAAGGUCCCUAAAUCUCAUUUAAGUGGAAAACGAUGUGGAGUUACUUAAACAACCAGGAGGUUGGCUUAGAAGCAGCCAUCCUUUAAAGAAAGCGUAAUAGCUCACUGGUCUAGUGAUUCUGCGCGGAAAAUAUAACGGGGCUAAAAUGAGUACCGAAGCUUUAGACUUAGUUUUACUAAGUGGUAGGAGAGCGUUGUAUUUGCGUUGAAGGUAUACCGGUAAGGAGUGCUGGAGCGAAUACAAGUGAGCAUGCAGGCAUGAGUAGCGAUAAUUGGGGUGAGAAUCCCCAACGCCGUAAACCCAAGGUUUCCUACGCGAUGCUCGUCAUCGUAGGGUUAGCCGGGUCCUAAGCAAAGUCCGAAAGGGGUAUGCGAUGGAAAAUUGGUUAAUAUUCCAAUGCCAACUAUAAUGUGCGAUGGAAGGACGCUUAGAGUUAGAGGAGCCAGCGGAUGGUAGUGCUGGUCGAAAGGUGCAGGUUGGAGUUCAGGCAAAUCCGAACUCCUUUAAGCCGAGGCCUUACAGGUGCGUGAAGUUCUUCGGAAUGAAUCGUAAAUCCUUGAUACUGUCGAGCCAAGAAAAGUUUCUAAGUUUAGUUAUAGUUGCCCGUACCGUAAACCGACACAGGUGGGUGGGAUGAGUAUUCUAAGGCGCGUGGAAGAACUCUCUUCAAGGAACUCUGCAAAAUAGCACCGUAUCUUCGGUAUAAGGUGUGCCUAACUUUGUGAAGGAUUUACUCCGUAAGCAUUGAAGGUUACAACAAAGAGUCCCUCCCGACUGUUUACCAAAAACACAGCACUCUGCUAACUCGUAAGAGGAUGUAUAGGGUGUGACGCCUGCCCGGUGCUCGAAGGUUAAUUGAUGACGUUAGCUCUGCGAAGCGUUUGAUCGAAGCCCGAGUAAACGGCGGCCGUAACUAUAACGGUCCUAAGGUAGCGAAAUUCCUUGUCGAUUAAAUAUCGACCUGCAUGAAUGGCGUAACGAGAUGGGAGCUGUCUCGAAGAGGGAUCCAGUGAAAUUGUAGUGGAGGUGAAAAUUCCUCCUACCCGCGGCAAGACGGAAAGACCCCGUGGACCUUUACUACAGCUUGACACUGCUAUUGGGAUAAAAAUGUGCAGGAUAGGCGGGAGGCUUUGAUCCAUAGACGCCAGUUUAUGGUGAGCCAUUGUUGAGAUACCGCUCUUUUUUAUUCUGAUAGCUAACUAGCUUGAGUUAUCCUCAAGUAGGACAAUGUCUGGUGGGUAGUUUGACUGGGGCGGUCGCCUCCCAAAAUGUAACGGAGGCUUACAAAGGUUGGCUCAGAACGGUUGGAAAUCGUUCGUAGAGUAUAAAGGCAUAAGCCAGCUUAACUGCGAGACAUACACGUCAAGCAGAGACGAAAGUCGGUCUUAGUGAUCCGGUGGUUCUGUGUGGAAGGGCCAUCGCUCAAAGGAUAAAAGGUACCCCGGGGAUAACAGGCUGAUCUCCCCCAAGAGCUCACAUCGACGGGGAGGUUUGGCACCUCGAUGUCGGCUCAUCGCAUCCUGGGGCUGGAGCAGGUCCCAAGGGUAUGGCUGUUCGCCAUUUAAAGCGGUACGCGAGCUGGGUUCAGAACGUCGUGAGACAGUUCGGUCCCUAUCUGCCGUGGGCGCAAGAAGAUUGAGGAGAGUUGA
rnacentral:rRNA from 1 species